UUUCCGUAGGUGAACCUGCGGAAGGAUCAUUAAUGAGUUGUCAUGGGGUUCGAUGCUGGCAGCCAAUUUUUGGAUGCAUGUGCUUGCCCUAACAAUCAUCUUCCAAACACCUGUGCACAUUUUUGAGGGAGUCUUGAGUUGGUUGCCGCUCUUGGGUGAUUUUCUCACAUUCCCUUAAAUCAUUAUACGCUAUUAACAAUGUUGAACGUGCUCUGUGCCGCAAGGCUAUUAAUAUUAUACAACUUUUAACAACGGAUCUCUUGGCUCUC
rnacentral:misc_RNA from 1 species